AGCCUCCGUUGCCCGGCAAGAUCGCGGCCGCCGCGGGCCCGCGCCGCCCCGGUUCCACUUGCCCCUCGCCGUCAGCGGCCUCCUUUCACUUCCUGAGUCACUUAAAGCGGCAAGAGCCCUUUUCGGCGUUUUCCCGCGGGGCCGAGCAUCUCCCCCCUCCCCACCCCCGGAAGGAGAAGCUCCACCGCGGUCUCUCCCUCACUGAGCAGAAGGCGAUGGGCCCCGCCUUCCCCACGCCCUCCCUGGAGGUGUCAACCUGACCGAAAACCACUAGCCUGAGGUCCCUGCGGACUUAGGUCACUCUAGUGUCAACCUGUCCCCGCCCCCAUUUCAGUCCUAGGAUUCUGCAAGGGGCUGAGGCCCAAGGCUGUUUACCAGGCUGAGCCUGCUCUCCGGGGAUUUCUACAAGGCCCCCCCAAAAAGGGCUGUGUUUCUUCUACUAGGCUCCGGGAGCCUCCGAGUCAGGCUGAGCAAACAGGCAACAUUUUCCAUCCAAAGCGAUACUACGUACACAUCGUGUUGUUUGCAGAGUCUAUUUGCAUUCCAGUCUCCUAGGGACUCACAAUCGCUGGGUGGUAGCUGUGUCAGGAGAAGGGAGGUGCAGGGAGACCGUAUUUACGAAGUGAGAUUCCAGCCCCCAGUUACUAAGGGGUUGGUUCCCCUGGAUUCAAACCCGGCUCCAAGAAAAUGGAAAGGAGCUGAUACCCGUUAAGCAAAAUGCCCUAGACUCUGCUGGAUCUUUAGUUCAUUUCUCUGAAAAUUACUUCUAUGUUUUCAUUCAAAACAAAGAUUGAUACACCGCUCUGGAGAAAGAAAUUGGCCAAUGCCAACUCAAGCUUCAGCAUCAGUAGUUCUGUAAACUGUUCUCACUUUGUUCCAUAGUAGAUGUCUCUUCCCAUGAUACCAUCACUCCAGAGUCAUGUCGUCUAAACUGACUGCAGAUGUAUCCUUACUCAGCAAGACUACAAAGUUUCUAAACCAGAAUUCAAGUCUCCUCCUUUACCGCACAAGCAGUGAGCCCAGGAAUCCUGAUGCAGGAAAGCGUCCUAGUGACUCACAGCAAAUGUUCAGUAACGAAAAACUCUUUGAAGAUUCCAAACAGAUCUACUCUGGCUUAAUCCUGAAAUCUAUAUCCACCCUAAGGCAGCGUUAAGACACGAUGAGAGUUGGGCCGAAUGGAAUCACUGCAUCACCCAAGAAAGAAAAACCUCAUCUGUUGGGAAGAUGCCGCCAAGAGUCAGUGAGGCUGUUGAUCAUGGUGCUUAAUGCGCAAACAUUUCAGAGUCUCACAUCUUGGGAUGGGAAUCCAGGUCCACUGCUACUUAGCCAACAGACUCUAAACUCAUUAUUGAACUCAUUAGUUAGCCUUGAACUCCCUGUCCUCCUCCAACAGCCUCCCAAAUGCUGGGGCUACAAGCACGUUUUCCCUUCACCCCGAUUCCAUUAUUUAAAAUGUUAAAUGUCUGUUAUCUGUAAAAUUCAGGAGCACAACAAACCUGAGCUAAUAUAUUUAGGAUUGUGCUAAGCACAUAAUAAGCAAUCAUUUAAUGGGAGGCAUUACUUUUUGCAUAUUAGCAGAAGUUAAAAGAGCACCCAUUGUAUACAAUGAAACAGUUAUGCCAGAGGACAGAAAAUGCAGAAAUAUGAGUUUUCAUUAUUAUUAUUAUUAUUAUUAUUAUUAUUAUUAUUAUUAUUAUUAUUUAGCAGAGUCUCAUGUAAGCCAUGAUGGCUGUGACCUGACUGUGUAGUCAAGGUUGUCCUUAAACAUCUGAUCGUUUUGCUUCCUCCUAAGUGCUAGGUUUAUGUGGUCCUGUGGAUCAAAUCCAGGGCUUCAUACAUGCUGGCAAAUACUACAUUGACUGAGCUACAUUCUUCAUCCUGUUUUUUUUUUUUUUUUUGAAACAGGGUUUCAUAUAGCCCAGGCUAGUCUUAAACUCAUUGUUUAGCUGGUGGCAACCUUAAACUGAUCCCCCCUACCUCCAACAACCAAGUACCUGUGCCACCACACUUUCUUUUUAAGUAUUUUUUCUUUCUUUGGUUUGGGUUUUAUUUUAUUGAUUUAUUUUGUUUCUUUGAGACAGAGUUUCUCUGUGUAACAGCCCUAGCUGUCCUG